UUAAGUAUUUGUUGAAAUGCUUUUGUUACUGAUAAAUACAUGUACAUUUAAAUUGAUUUUGUUCUGUCUGUGAUUUUGUAGAUCUGGAUGUUCAGCUGGUCUCAGAUCAAGCAUCCUCCUCUGUACUGACUCCACUAUCCCCAGCUUCAUCCCAUUCAUCAGAUUCCACAAUUGUCCUGGAGUCCAGAAGAAAGAGGAGGAACCCAACAGGGUUAAUGGAGCAGAAUGAAGCAAGACAGGUAAGCUUUGAAUAAAUGCAUUUAAAAUACUCAAUUAUGUAAUUGUUUAUUAUUGAUACUUAUCUGUAGAAGUGUUUUGUAAAUGUAUUCUCGACAUAAAGGAAAGGCAUUAAAAAUCCUCUUAAAUUUCCAUGAGCAUGUCAUAACGAUGUAAGAUGUUUUGGCAGAAAGUUGAUUGUGUUCUGAGGGUCAUGUCUGCAACCAGGACGUUCACCAUCUGUUUACGUGUGGCAUAUGUUAGAGCUACAUGGGAGGAUUCCAUGGUCAAGUGUGAGGACCAAUUAUGCACUGGGAAUUGUGACACUUUUUCCAUACCUCCAAGAUCCUUUCUCCAAACAUGGAUAUGAACACUACUAUGAUCCUUUAGGGUAAUACUGGCUUCAUUGCAUGGAGGAUCAAGACAGUUCAACAUAACACCUGUGCUGGCUCCUGGUGUCAUUCCAAGACUGUUCUUCAGGAUGGUCCAAAAAACAGACAAGAAUCUCUGUUAACUUGUCAACAGCGAUUUGGUGAGGAGUGCAGGGAGGCGAUAUCUACAAUACGAUAUUCCACUGAUGAGAAGAUGAGCGACUUUCC